UUGUGAGACAGGGUCUUGUUAAGUUGCUAAGGCUGGCCUUGAACCUGCAGUCCUCCUGCCGCAGCCUCCACAGCUGGAUUGAGGUGGUCCCGCCUGCCUGGCUGACUUCUGGAUAUGGCUCUUCCCACCUGUAACAGCAGCUACCGUGCUCCAAUUGCAAAAGAACCCAGUCCUGCCUUGUCAGUCUGGGCUUGGGCAGUGUGGUCCACAGGACGACCUGCUGCUCGAAGGAAGCCGGACGUUGGUGGGUGGAUUCUCAUUUGUGACCUCUAUGUGAACACUGUGACAUCAGAUCCUGUCACCUUGACUGGCCUAGGGGAAUCUGACCUCUUUCUAUCAAGAGCCCACCACGAUCAUCUGAAGACUCACGAUGUGCUGCAAUCAGAGAAGGGCUUAUUUCCUGGAGACUACCUAUAAGACUAUGAAUAAAAACUCAGUUUUGUUGAAAGAAGGAACUCAAAUAGAGAUCUGCGUACCCAUGAUUAUAACAGUAUUGUUCACAAGAGCCAAGGUGGAAGCAACCCCAGUGUCCAUUAACAGAUGAGUGUAUAAACACAACGUGUUAUGCCCAAACGGUAGAAUAUCAUUCAGCCUUUAAAAAGAAGAAAAUUCUGACAUAUGCUACAAUAUGGAUGAACCUCGAAGGCAUUAUGCUAAGUGAAGUAAGCCAGAUGCUAAAAGAACAAACGUAUGAUCUUCUAUGACUACCUGUUAUGGUUUAGAUGUGAGGUGCCCCCCUCAAAUGCUCGCGUGUAAAAUAACACGAGAAAGGUUAGAGGUGAAAUGAUUGGGAUAUGAGAGUCUUAACCUAAUCAGUGUGAUCACCCACUUGAAU
rnacentral:lncRNA from 1 species